UCCUCUUCUUCCCUCAGUCUCCCUGUGGAGUCCUUCCUUUCUGUCCUGAUUCAAUACUUGGCUGGCCCCUGGAGUAUUUUCCACAUCUCCUCUGGCAAUCCCCUCUCAGUAACUUAUCUGGCUCUCUCUCUACUUCCGCAAGUCGCUCCCCUACCGCCUCCUGCUUUUCUAGGCUUCUGCCUCCUACCUCUUCCCCACAAAUUCUCGCAUCCUCUCUCUCUCCACUUAACUCUUGCUCCUCCAAUGAGUCACCUUCUCUUUCUUCCUGUCCGUGUCUGUACACCUGUGGCAGGGACUCCUCAUGAUCCUUACUCGUGCUUGAUUCCCUUCUCUCUUGUGUUUCUCCAAGACUCUCCUCUCCUAUCUUUUUUCCACUUCUUCUUGAAUGCCUCAUCUCUUCCUGCCCUGAUGAGCCACUUUCUUUUCUAGUCUGUUUAUUUCUAUAGUAUAACCGCUACUCCUCAUACUCCUUUUCCUCUCUCAAGUAUUUCAUCCGUUCAAUCUCUUCUUUCAUUUUUUUCUCUGCCUGUUCCACCUUUAUCCUUUCUGCCUGUAUCUCCUUCCAUAUCGCUGCUUUUUCCUUCUCGUAUUGUCUUUUUCCCCUCCGCAUUAUCCCAAACUUGUACUUCUCCCUGUAUGUUUACUGUUCCCGUCAGCAGGGGGCACUGCUUAGGGGUUCCUUCCUCAUUAUAGGGAGGGGGCUUUUCUGUUUCUUUCGCAUCCAGGUACGGAGCUGAAGCCAGCUUCUCACUGUACCUUCCUCUCUCUCUAACAGGCUGUUUCUCCAGCACCUUAGUGUCUUCCUCGCUUGUAAUCAAUAUUCUACCUGUCCUCCUCAGCCUCUCUCCCUCCGUUCUGAAGAGUUUUAGCACUUCCAUUUCUCGUUCUCUUUUUUGCCCUCUUUUCUUAGAUUUAUCUUUUGGUUUGUAAUUUUUAAUUAGUGCCUCCAUUUCUUCGCACGAGCUUACAUAAAACGUUCCUUCUCAUGGCCAUUUUGUGACCAGGUUUUUGGUUCUUUUUUCCCAUUUUUCUGAAGUUUUUGUGAUCUCAUAUCUAUUUACUGGGAAUUUUUUGCUCAGAAUCUCUACUGCCAUUCCUUUACCUGUCAUGUUGUUCUCUCUUUUUAAGGUAUUUCAGAGAUUCACAGUUCGUUUACUGGAUAAUAUUAUUUACUCCAAUUCUGUGCCUAGUCUAUCGUCUAUCUACCAGCGCUUUAAACUAUAUAUUGGACUGUCGUUGUUUCCUAUUCUGUUCUGCCCGUACAGACCUCUAUUCAGAGUGGUAUCCACAGAACUUUCUGAAAGGAGAAGUGAAGGCAGGCUGCUGGAUUUAUUCCCUUAUAACAGUGAUCAACAGAUAAGAAGGUAGAGGGAAGAGAUGGUCAUGUGAUGUUCCACUAUGAGUAUAAGGGACCACUUCCUCAGAAUUCAUCAUUAUCCUUGGCCUGUGGCUCCUCUUGAUCAAACCUCUGAGUUUUGGAGUCCUCUACCAGAUGGAAAAGACUGGGGCUUUUCCCCAAUGGAUUUUAAAAGCCUCCAUAAAGUUUCCACUCCAACUCCUAUGCUCCAGGGAUAAAAGUCCUAACCCAUCCAUCCUCUCAUAAUUUAAAGCCUCCAGUCCAGGUAAC